rnacentral:tRNA from 1 species
GCCCGCCUAACUCAUUUGGUAGAGCAUGAGACUUGUAAUCUCAGGGUCAUGGGUUUGAGCCCCACAUUGGGUG